rnacentral:rRNA from 1 species
GACAGAGGGGGCAAGCGUUGCUCGGAAUUACUGGGCGUAAAGGGCGCGUAGGCGGGAUGGCAAGUCGGUCGUGAAAUCCCUCGGCUCAACUGAGGAUCGUCGAUCGAUACUGCCGUUCUUGAGGAUUGCAGAGGAGACCGGAAUUCCCGGUGUAGCGGUGAAAUGUGUAGAGAUCGGGAGGAACACCGGUGGCGAAGGCGGGUCUCUGGGCAAUUCCUGACGCUGAGGCGCGAAAGCGUGGGGAGCAAACGGG